GAUGAACGCUGGCGGCGUGCUUAACACAUGCAAGUCGAACGAUGAAGCCCAGCUUGCUGGGUGGAUUAGUGGCGAACGGGUGAGUAACACGUGAGUAACCUGCCCUUAACUCUGGGAUAAGCCUGGGAAACUGGGUCUAAUACCGGAUAGGAGCGUCCACCGCAUGGUGGGUGUUGGAAAGAUUUAUCGGUUUUGGAUGGACUCGCGGCCUAUCAGCUUGUUGGUGAGGUAAUGGCUCACCAAGGCGACGACGGGUAGCCGGCCUGAGAGGGUGACCGGCCACACUGGGACUGAGACACGGCCCAGACUCCUACGGGAGGCGGCAGUGGGGAAUAUUGCACAAUGGGCGCAAGCCUGAUGCAGCGACGCCGCGUGAGGGAUGACGGCCUUCGGGUUGUAAACCUCUUUCAGUAGGGAAGAAGCGAAAGUGACGGUACCUGCAGAAGAAGCACCGGCUAACUACGUG
rnacentral:rRNA from 1 species